GACGAACGCUGGCGGCGCGCUUAAUACAUGCAAGUCGAGCGAGAACCGGAGCUUCGGCUCCGGGGACAGCGGCGAACGGGUGAGUAACACGUGGGUAACCUGCCCUCGGCACCGGGAUAGCCCGGGGAAACCCGGAUUAAUACCGGAUGGCCCUUUCGGUCUUCGGACCGGUCGGCAAAGGUAGCUUCGGCCUCCGGCCGAGGAUGGGCCCGCGGCGGAUUAGCUUGUUGGUGAGGUAACGGCUCACCAAGGCUCCGAUCCGUAGCUGGUCUGAGCGGACGAUCAGCCACACUGGGACUGAGACACGGCCCAGACUCCUACGGGAGGCAGCAGUAGGGAAUCUUGCGCAAUGGGCGAAAGCCUGACGCAGCGACGCCGCGUGCGGGAAGACGGCCUUCGGGUUGUAAACCGCUUUCAGGAGGGAUGAAGCCACUCGGGUGAAUAGCCCAGAGGGUGACGGUACCUCCAGAAGAAGUCCCGGCUAACUACGUGCCAGCCGCCGCCGUAACAC
rnacentral:rRNA from 1 species